rnacentral:misc_RNA from 1 species
GAACUGCGAUAAGUAAUGUGAAUUGCAGAAUUCAGUGAAUCAUCGAGUCUUUGAACGCACAUUGCGCCCCCUGGCAUUCCGGGGGGCAAGCCUGUCCGAGCGUCAUUGCUGCCCUUCAAGCCCGGCUUGUGUGUUGGGUCGUCGUCCCCUCCGGGGGACGGGCCCGAAAGGCAGCGGCGGCACCGCGUCCGGUCCUCGAGCGUAUGGGGCUUUGUCACCCGCUCGAUAAGGACCGGCCGGGCGCCAGCCGGCGUCUCCAACCUUUUUUUCUCAGGUUGACCUCGGAUCAGGUAGGGAUACCCGCUGAACUUAAGC